GGGUCGAUGCCCGAGUGGUUAAUGGGGGCGGAUUGUAAAUCCGCUGGCGACGCCUACGCUGGUUCGAAUCCAGCUCGGCCCA
rnacentral:tRNA from 1 species